rnacentral:rRNA from 2 species
GUUCCCGGGUCUUGUACACACCGCCCGUCACACCACGAGAGUUUGUAACACCCGAAGCCGGUGGAGUAACCUUUUAGGAGCUAGCCGUCGAAGGUGGGACAAAUGAUUGGGGUGAAGUCGUAACAAGGUAGCCGUAUCGGAAGGUGCGGCUGGAUCACCUCCUUUCUAAGGA